rnacentral:rRNA from 1 species
UACGUAGGGUGCAAGCGUUGUCCGGAAUUAUUGGGCGUAAAGAGCUCGUAGGCGGUUUGUCGCGUCGGGAGUGAAAACCCAGGGCUUAACCCUGGGCUGGCUUUCGAUACGGGCAGACUAGAGGUAUGCAGGGGAGAACGGAAUUCCUGGUGUAGCGGUGAAAUGCGCAGAUAUCAGGAGGAACACCGGUGGCGAAGGCGGUUCUCUGGGCAUUACCUGACGCUGAGGAGCGAAAGUGUGGGGAGCGAACAGG